rnacentral:misc_RNA from 1 species
GAUGAAGAACGUAGCGAAAUGCGAUACUUGGUGUGAAUUGCAGAAUCCCGUGAACCAUCGAGUCUUUGAACGCAAGUUGCGCCCGAAGCCAUUAGGCCGAGGGCACGCCUGCCUGGGCGUCACACGUCGUUGCCCCCCCAUCUACUCCUUCGGGAUUGCGGGGGGCGGAUGAUGGCCUCCCGUGCGCCUCGCCGCGCGGUUGGCAUAAAUGCCAAGUCCUCGGCGACGCACGCCACGACAAUCGGUGGUUGCGACACCUCGGUUGCCCGUCGUGUGCGGUCGUCGCGCAUCGAGGGCUCGAAAAAAUUGCCGGGUUCCGGCUCGGCUUUCAACGCGACCCCAGGUCAGGCGGGGUUACCCGCUGAAUUUAAGCAUAUCAAUAAGCGGAGGA